CCUACGGGGGGCAGCAGUGAGGAAUAUUGGUCAAUGGACGAGAGUCUGAACCAGCCAAGCAGCGUGAAGGAUGACUGCCCUAUGGGUUGUAAACUUCUUUUAUAUGGGAAUAAAAUGUUCCACGUGUGGGAGUUUGUAUGUACCAUAUGAAUAAGGAUCGGCUAACUCCGUGCCAGCAGCCGCGGUAAUACGGAGGAUCCGAGCGUUAUCCGGAUUUAUUGGGUUUAAAGGGUGCGCAGGCGGAAGAUCAAGUCAGCGGUAAAAUUGAGAGGCUCAACCUCUUCGCGCCGUUGAAACUGGUAGUCUUGAGUGAGUGAGAAGUAUGCGGAAUGCGUGGUGUAGCGGUGAAAUGCGUAGAUAUUAGGAAGAACACCAGUGGCGAAGGCGGCCUGCUGGACGACAACUGACGGUGAGGCGCGAAAGCGUGGGGAGCAAACAGGAUUAGAUACCCGUGUAGUC
rnacentral:rRNA from 1 species